CUAGUGCAGUGAUAAUGAACGCCAUACUAAUUUCCAAAUUGUAAACAAGAAACUAAAAUUAAAAUAAUACAAGACUAACAAAGGCCAGAGGCUCCUGACUUGGGACAGUCGCAAAAAUGCGGCGGGGUUAGACAUGUUUGUGAGAUCUCAACCCUCCCCCUAUACCUCUAGCCAAUGUAGAAAAGUAAACGCAUAACAAUACGCACAUUAAAAUUCAGUCCAAGA
rnacentral:lncRNA from 1 species